rnacentral:rRNA from 1 species
UACGUAGGGAGCAAGCGUUGUUCGGAUUUACUGGGCGUAAAGGGCGCGUAGGCGGCGCGGUAAGUCACUUGUGAAAUCUCCGAGCUUAACUCGGAACUGCCAAGUGAUACUGCUGUGCUAGAGUGCAGAAGGGGCAACCGGAAUUCUUGGUGUAGCGGUGAAAUGCGUAGAUAUCAAGAGGAACACCUGAGGUGAAGACGGGUUGCUGGGCUGACACUGACCGCUGAGGCGCGAAAGCUAGGGUAGCAAACGGG